GGAGGAGGCAAGCGUUGUCCGGAAUCAUUGGGCGUAAAGAGCGCGUAGGCUGUUUUUCAAGUCACAUGUGAAAACCUCAGGCUUAACUUGAGGACUGCAUAUGAAACUGGAAAACUUGAGUGCAGUAGGGGAAAGUGGAAUUCCUGGUGUAGCGGUGAAAUGCGCAGAUAUCAGGAAGAACACCGGUAGCGAAGGCGGCUUUCUGGGCUGCUACUGACGCUGAGGCGCGAAAGCUAGGGGGGAGCAAACAGGAUUAGAUACCCUGGUAGUCCUAGCUGUAAACGAUGGACAUUAGGUGUGGGGGAGUUAUCGACGCUUUCCGUGCCGGAGCUAACGCAUUAAAUGUCCCCGCCUGGGAGUACGGUCGCAAGACUA
rnacentral:rRNA from 1 species